rnacentral:misc_RNA from 1 species
UUCUGUGCAAGUGAAAAUGAUUCACAGCGUUAGUAUUUAGAAAUAUAAUAGAGCAUUAUAUUCGGAUUUUAUAUUAAACAUUGGCAAUAUACUUAACACGUUCGGCCUCUGUGCAGACCUGUUACACUAGCUGUUUGAUCAAGUUCAAAAUGGGGAGGCAAGAGAUUGAAUAAAGCAUAUUGAGUAUGCAUAGAGAGCUAAUACUUUAGGAAAAGCCAAUGAUUCUCCAUGUCAAAACCUUAAGGGAUUAACAUACUCCGUAUAGAAGCUGACUGGGAAGAUCUUAAAUUGAGUUUAUAUACAUAAUUGCAGAUGAUAUAAAUUAGUUUGUUUUAUCUUUCAUGUCUUUGAUUGGCAUUGAUGAAAGGCAUUGCCACAAAAAUAAGGGCAACGGCAAUUAUACAACGAAUGAUGAUCUAAAAUAUUCUAUGUGCCAUCUAAAUGUAGAGUUUGUACCGAAUCGAUACUAGAAUAUAGUACAUUGAAAAGAAGAUCACAUUUGGGCUGGAGGUAAAAUUGAGGAAUUGUUAUUUUCUUGUGAUGGAAAGAUAAAUGUAUAAAUCACAACAGAAACUGCAUUUUUUUCCCCUGUGCAAGAUCAAAAUAAAUAACUCCGUUUUACACCGAAUGAAUCAAAAUUAACCAUAAAGACAAUGCAUGCAAGAUGCUCCAUAGUCGUCAAGCAAAGGGAAAGACUCGUAGAAAGCAGCACAUGUGCGGGGGAGAGAGAGAGAGAGAGAG